CAGUGAGCAGGGCAUACUCCACCGGAGUAUUUACCUCGUGAAAGCCUGGCUAUGCUUAGAAGAUUUGUUGCGCUUGAGCCGAUGGUCUUUUGGAAACAGCUUUUCUACCUCUCCGAGGUAGUGGUAAGGUUUGCAUACACUUAACGCUCCUCAGACCUCACUUGUGGGAUUUCACUGGGUAUGAUGUUAUUGUUGUUAUUGAUGGUCAUUAUGACCAUUACAACAUGUUGAUGGAGAAUUUUCCUAGGUCUAAGGAGUAUUGACCAGUUGUCAUUGUUGGCGUGCAAGAUUCAUCCACUGACAUGUCUUUGUCGGAAGCACAAAUGAUAGAGUUGGACAAUCUAAAGUUAAAGGACGAUCACAAAGUAAAGAAUCACCUCUUUUUGCUAUUGAUCGCUCAAUACUGGAAAUCAUACUUUGCAAGGAUACUUCUAAACAAAUAUGGAAUUCCAUGAAGAAGACGCAUCAAUGAAUGGUAAAGGCGAAAUGACCGCAACUUCAAGUACUCCAUAGUGAGUUUGAGACUCUAUGUAUGCGAGGUGGUAUUAUUUCUCUAGCUAGGACGUUCUCUAUAGCAGAUAAAAUGUGAAUUCAUGGCGAAAUACAAUAUUGAAGAAUCCAGAGGCGGGUUCUUUGUUGGUUCUA